UACGAAGGGGGCAAGCGUUGUUCGGAAUUACUGGGCGUAAAGCGCACGUAGGCGGCUUUGUAAGUCAGAGGUGAAAGCCUGGAGCUCAACUCCAGAACUGCCUUUGAGACUGCAUCGCUUGAAUCCAGGAGAGGUGAGUGGAAUUCCGAGUGUAGAGGUGAAAUUCGUAGAUAUUCGGAAGAACACCAGUGGCGAAGGCGGCUCACUGGACUGGUAUUGACGCUGAGGUGCGAAAGCGUGGGGAGCAAACAGG
rnacentral:rRNA from 1 species